rnacentral:lncRNA from 1 species
CACUACACUCCCACUAGCAUGCCAUGACAUGUAACAAUUGCCAACUAGUACCCUAUAAUGCAAUAUCCCAAUAUGCAACUUGAUCAAUGUUAACUAGAGUUUCUAGUACAACAACCAAUCCAUUACUAGUUCAAGUCAUAUGUGUUUUUAGCACAAUGAGUUCAAUGCCACUUGUAAACUAUGUCUUUAAAUACAACACUAGGUUCUUCUUUCAUUUAGCAUCAUAGGUUUACCAAUGUCAUCUCAUAAUCCUUAUGUCCAUUACAUCAUAUAUCCAUAUCAUAAUACUAUAUUGAUCAUAAACAUCAUAUAAGGAUUAGGAAUGCAUGUAUUGUCAUCCUAUAAUGCAUAGCAACAUACAAUAUGCUUUAUACAAAUUGAUAAAGUACUAAGACAUAGGAAGAAGCUCGGUUGCUUCGGGAUGGACACUCCCCACCUUUUACAGCGUUCCGAUUGCUCGUCGUCACUUGCAAUCGGCCUCCGGCGGCGCACGCCGCUCGGCUCGACCCAAACCACGCACAACCACCGAACGACCUCCGAUCCGC